GGUUGUGGCUCAGUGGUAGAAUGCUCGCCUGGUACGCGCAAGGCCCUGGGUUCGAUUCGCAGCACCA
rnacentral:tRNA from 1 species